UACGUAGGGGGCAAGCGUUGUUCGGAUUUACUGGGCGUAAAGGGCGCGUAGGCGGUGCGGUAAGUCACUUGUGAAAUCUCUGAGCUUAACUCAGAACGGCCAAGUGAUACUGCAGUACUAGAGUGCGGAAGGGGCAAUCGGAAUUCUUGGUGUAGCGGUGAAAUGCGUAGAUAUCAAGAGGAACACCUGAGGUGAAGACGGGUUGCUGGGCCGACACUGACGCUGAUGCGCGAAAGCCAGGGGAGCAAACGGG
rnacentral:rRNA from 1 species